UAAGUUGUUAAGCGACAUUAACAUGAUCAUCUCCCAGCAUCACCUCACUCUGCACAAGCAAGAAUGGCUGUCACGCCCCGGGGUCCUUGUUAGAUUGAAAGUAUAGCGAAAGUGACUAAAUUUUUUUUUUUUUUUUGAAAACCUGACCCCAGGGUAUGCCAGAUCCGCCACAAAUACAGGGAAUCUACUGUUCACACGGACAGAGUCUUCCCUGUAUUUGCACGGUGUCGCACAAGUACAAGAGUAUAACCAGAAUACAACCACCAUAAUGAAUAAACAACAAUCAAUAUUCAUUCACCAUUCAUCACAAAUUUACCAUUCAUAGUUCAAUUCAUAAAUCUACGACUAUUAGUUUAAAACGUUUCCCACCCGAAAGCUCAUUUUGAAACACCAAGAGUUGAAAAGCCAAUAAAACCUUUUUAAAACCAUUUCCUACACGAAAGCCUUUUCUUUUUAAAGCACGCUACCACGAAGGGUAGAAAAUUAUUUCCAGUUUACAAAAUCAUAUAUCCUUUAUUUUUCAUGAAACCACGUGUUUUAAUUAACUUCACAAAACCAUGUUUAUAUAUAUCCAAGUAAACAAAACCAACUGAACCAUAUGUCUAAAAUAUGUCAACAGAAAUAAAGAGGGUAAUAGCUGAACUGAACAAACAGGGUCGAAAGCUCUAGCGACCACUAUGAACGUGUCUCACGUCUCG
rnacentral:lncRNA from 1 species